AAAUUUACCCAUACUUUACCAGACUCUGACACACAAACGCUGGGGCUAUUACUGAAAAAAGAGACGGAAACACUUUUAUACGGGAGAGAGAUAGACGUGGAUGCACGAACUCGCCCACUUGGAACUCCAUGCUUCGCUAGUUAUAACCAGAAAGGCACGAUCUGAAGUUCUGAACACGAACGUGGGAGUUAUUGACGGAAAAUUGGGAGAUGGACUCACCACAAUUUACCAACUAUAAAAGGGGGGAAGUGGAUGAUCGACCUAGAAAAAGAAAACGAAGAAAAUCAAAUUCCCCCAAUUUCUUUUUGAAUUGGUUCAAAGGCUUGGUUCUGUUUGCAAGAACACUCAAUUGAAUCCUAAUAAGUUUAUUACUCAGUCAAUCUGGGCAAACAUCUUCUUUGCGGUAACAUCAUAAUAGUGAGAUUUGAAAUCACUGUGAGGUUUUCUAUCUCAUUCUCAUCUGUGUUCAUUGAAAUUCAUUUUAUUUUUUUUUAUUUUUUUAUGAGAUUUGAAUAUACGUGCACCAUCAUGCAGCAAUACCAUUAUGUCAAGAUAAUUGCAUUAGAUAUGUCUAUUAAGAAGGCUUUGAAGUCUUUUAGGCCCUAAUAUUUCUCAGUAUUUCUUAUGCUUUCUUUUAGUUCUAUCCAAUCCUCUUUUUUCUUUGUUCAAUUUAGGUGCAGAGCCCGUGAGAUUGUAGUAAGCUUAGGUUCUUUGCCUUUUGUUCCCGACUAGAUAGUAAGUAUUGCCGGAGCCACCGCAGUUGCAGUAUAUUUCUUGCAGAAGUAUUAAGACAACAAUGUGCGCUUGGGCUAUUGAGCUUCCUAUGUGAGGAGCCUCUCCUUUGCCUUGGUCUUGGAUUUUAUUUUUAUUAAUCCACCGGGCUGCUUGCUGAAUUGGAUGAACAUGAAAACACUUUUUUUUUUUUCUAAUAUUGGUUACCGGUCAAAAUUGAUUAUAGAGUAAAGUUGAGAGUUCAUAGGCUACGGUGAAGUAGACUACUGAAUUACUUAGCUCGGUGCGUGUAUACCGAACACAAAUCAAUUUGGGGCAUUGAUUGAUGUUGCAAAAGUAGCUGGGGAGUAGCUGAUUGCUGCAACUCUGUGGAUAAGGUCUCAAGACAUAGUUGCUGAAUUAUGGUAUGCUUUCAGUGAAGUACUCAUUGGUUAAUUGACUUCUUCAUCACGGUCUUUUCCACCGCCACCUGCUGGAGAUCAGGGAAACACAGUGCUACAUGCACUAGAGGCAAAAAGGCAUCGUAGGAAUGCCCGACAAAGAGAAAGACGGAAGUCAUUAAAUUCCUCACAAAGAGCUGAGUGUUCAGCCCGAAGACGCGCCAGUUAUCAAAUGCGGCGAAAUAUGGGAAAUAUAAGUAAUGAUGAAAAUCAAGUGGCAGCAAGGGAGGAUAACUUACUGACUUGGCUCUCUUGAACUAGAAUGUAUUAAAUGUUUUGUAAUCAACCAAACACCACUAAUUGAUUAUUGAA